GAUGAAGAACGCAGUGAAAUGCGAUAAGUAAUGCGAAUUGCAGAAUCCGUGAGUCAUCGAAUCUUUGAACGCACAUUGCGCCCGCCAGUAUUCUGGCGGGCAUGCCUGUCCGAGCGUCAUUUCAACCCUCGAACCCCUCCGGGGGGUCGGCGUUGGGGAUCGGCCCUUUCACCGGGUGCCGGCCCCUAAAUACAGUGGCGGUCUCGCCGCAGCCUCUCAUGCGCAGUAGUUUGCACACUCGCACCGGGAGCGCGGCGCGUCCUCGUCCGUAAAACACCCCAAACUUCUGAAAUGUUGACCUCGGAUCAGGUAGGAAUACCCGCUGAACUUAAGCAUAUCAAUAAGCGGAGGA
rnacentral:misc_RNA from 1 species